ACGUAGGAGGCGAGCGUUAUCCGGAUUUACUGGGCGUAAAGCGCACGCGGGCGGCUUCGUGAGUCGGACGUGAAAGCUCCUGGCUUAACCGGGAGAGGACGUGCGAGACUGUCGGACUAGAGGCAGGUAGAGGCAAGUGGAAUUCCGGGUGUAGUGGUGAAAUGCGUAGAGAUCCGGAGGAACCCCGGUGGCGAAGGCGACGCGCUGGGCCUGGCCUGACGCUAAGACGCGAAAGCAUGGGGAGCGAACGG
rnacentral:rRNA from 1 species